rnacentral:sRNA from 1 species
GAGCUCAGAGCCCCAUCAAGGGCCCCAGGAACCUGGCCAGGGCUGCAACUAAGCAGAGGUGCUGGGUCUGACUGAUUGCCCUUGGCCUUGUCAACAAAGUUAGCUCUGUCUUGUGACACCUUUGUUUUUGCAGGGGAAGGAAAGAUACAACUUCCCCAACCCAAACCCCUUUGUGGAGGACGACAUGGAUAAGAAUGAAAUCGCCUCUGUUGCAUACCGUUACCGCAGGUGGAAGCUUGGAGACGAUAUUGACCUUAUUGUCCGUUGUGAGCAUGAUGGCGUCAUGACUGGAGCCAAUGGGGAAGUGUCCUUCAUCAACAUCAAGACACUCAAUGAGUGGGAUUCCAGGGUGAGCCGCCAUCUCCAUCACCCUUCUGGUGACACCAUAUCUCUAUUCCCUAUAGUGCCUGUUUACGCAGGCUAGGUUGUAUAAACUGUUUCUUAUCUCCUUUCGUUACUUAUAGAGCUACCUGGGUGUUUUUUUGUCUUGUGAGUUUUUUCCUCUGCUUAGUUCCUUGCUGAGAAAGAGCAUGACUGUGUGUGUAGAACUAUGUUAAGUGUUAAGAACUUUUCUGCUUAUUUUUUACAUAGGAACCAGUUAACUCCCUUCUUCCAGUACUUUCUUCAUCUCUGUUCCAUUGUGGCCUCCUGUUGGCUUCUGCUCCCUGAGCAUCUGAUUUUUUCCUCUCCUUAUUAUCUGGGUUGGCGGUUUUCCUGUAAGUCUGGCCGCUCUUCUUUUUGACCUCUUCUUUCAUUGACUGA